rnacentral:rRNA from 1 species
UGGUUAAAAAGCUCGUAGUUUGAUCUCGGCGGUCUGGGAGCGGUUCGCUCGCUAGAGUGCUACUGCUCCAUAGUCCGUAGUUUUGCCAGAGGUCUCGGGGUGCUCUUAACCGAGUGUCCCGCGAUGCUGGCAGGUUUACUUUGAAAAAAUUAGAGUGCUCAAAGCAGGCUAUUACGCCUGAAUAUUCGUGCAUGGAAUAAUAGAAUAGGAAGCCGUUUCUAUUUUGUUGGUUUUCGGAAAUCGACUUUAUGAUUAAUAGGGACAGUCGGGGGCAUUUGUAUUCAAACGACAGAGGUGAAAUUCUUGGACCGUUUGAAGACAAACUACUGCGAAAGCAUUUGCCAAGAAUGUUUUCAUUAUCAAGAACGAAAGUUAAAGGUUCGAAGGCGAUUAGAUACCGCCCUAGUUUUAACCAUAAACGAUGCCAGCUAGCGAUCUGCGGACGUUUUUUUUGUAGACUCCGCAGGAAGCUUCCGGGAAACCAAAGCAUUUGGGUUCCAGGGGAAGUAUGGUUGCAAAGCUGAAACUUAAAGGAAUUGACGGAAGGGCACCACCAGGAGUGGAGCCUGUGGCUUAAUUUGACUCAACACGGGAAAUCUCACCAGGCCCGGACACUGGAAGGAUUGACAGAUUGAUAGCUCUUUCUUGAU